AUCACUUCUCGGCCUUUUGGCUAAGAUCAAGUGUAGUAUCUGUUCUUAUCAGUUUAAUAUCUGAUAUGUCCUCUAUCUGUGGAUAAUAUAUUAAAUGGAUUUUUGAAGCUCGGAGUUGGAAUAGGAGCUUGCUCCGUCCACUCCACGCAUCGACCUGGUAUUGCAGUACCUAUAGAAAUGGUGCACCCCCU
rnacentral:snRNA from 1 species